AGAAUGAACGCUAGCGAUAUGCUUAACACAUGCAAGUCGAACGCGUGUAGCAAUACACGAGUGGCGCACGGGCGAGUAACGCGUGGAUAUCUGCCUUUUGGUUCGGAAUAACCCCGGGAAACUGGGGCUAAUACCGGAUGGUUCCUACGGGAUAAAGAUUUAUCGCCAAAAGAUGAGUCCGCGUCCGAUUAGCUAGUUGGUGGGGUAAUGGCCUACCAAGGCGACGAUCGGUAGCUGGUCUGAGAGGACGAUCAGCCACACUGGGACUGAGACACGGCCCAGACUCCUACGGGAGGCAGCAGUGGGGAAUAUUGGACAAUGGGGGCAACCCUGAUCCAGCCAUGCCCGCGUGAGUGAUGAAGGCCUUCGGGUUGUAAAGCUCUUUUGGCGGGGACGAUGAUGACGGUACCCGCAGAAUAAGCCCCGGCUAACUUCGUGCCAGCAGCCGC
rnacentral:rRNA from 1 species